CAGAGCCUACGGGAGGCAGCAGUGAGGAAUAUUGGUCAAUGGGCGGGAGCCUGAACCAGCCACGCCGCGUGAAGGAAGAAGGCGCCAAGCGUCGUAACCUUCUUUUGUCGGGGAACAAAGGGCGCCACGUGUGGCGUUGUGAGUGUACCCGAAGAAAAAGCAUCGGCUAACUCCGUGCCAGCAGCCGCGGUAAUACGGAGGAUGCGAGCGUUAUCCGGAUUUAUUGGGUUUAAAGGGUGCGUAGGCGGUCCGGAAAGUCAGCGAUAAAAGCCCGGGGCUCAACCCCGGCGAGCCGUUGAAACUGC
rnacentral:rRNA from 1 species